GGGAUAGACAUGGUUUCGACAGGCUUUAUGAAGUUAUAAUAGCAUGCCAUGGUAACGCAUGUAAAAACGUAGAGGUUAUAAUUAACCGCAGAACAAAAUUACGCUUUUGCAGCUUAAUUAAUAAACAGCUGCGCUUGUGAUAAAGUCCCCCUUAAGCUUUAUCAACAGGCUCAUGUAUUAAGGGUUGAAUCAAAAAAGGACCUCGGUUUUUGCUUCGAGAUCAAGAGGUUAGUUUAUCGGUGUUUUGUUCUUUGUACAUCGGUAAAUGAAACUAGAACAAAGGAAUAAGCAUGUAGAAGUUAUAAUGAAUUAGGGUUUGGACAGGGGUUCGACUCCCCUCUAUUCCACCA
rnacentral:tmRNA from 1 species